rnacentral:rRNA from 1 species
AGAGUUUGAUCAUGGCUCAGAUUGAACGCUGGCGGUAUGCUUAACACAUGCAAGUCGAACGCGAACGACCCUUCGGGGUUUAUUAGAGUGGCGGACGGGUUAGUAACGCGUAGGAAUCUGCCCAGUAGUGGGGGACAACAUGUGGAAACGCAUGCUAAUACCGCAUACGCCCUACGGGGGAAAGACUUCGGUCGCUAUUGGAUGAGCCUGCGUAAGAUUAGCUAGUUGGUAGGGUAAUGGCCUACCAAGGCGACGAUCUUUAGCUGGACUGAGAGGUCGAACAGCAACACUGGGACUGAGACACGGCCCAGACUCCUACGGGAGGCAGCAGUGGGGAAUAUUGGACAAUGGGCGAAAGCCUGAUCCAGCAAUACCGCGUGCGUGAAGAAGGCCCGAGGGUUGUAAAGCACUUUCAGAUGGGAAGAUAAUGACGUUACCAUCAGAAGAAGCACCGGCUAACUCUGUGCCAGCAGCCGCGGUAAUACAGAGGGUGCAAGCGUUAAUCGGAAUUA